rnacentral:rRNA from 1 species
UGUCUAGGGGUUCAAACCUAAAGAACCCAAAUAUCUAAACGGAGAAAUUCAAUACUGUCUCGCAAGAGAUGGUGUGCACUUUUCUCUUAGUAAGACGUUGUGAUCCAUUAGGAAUCGAGUUUUACGACUCAUUAGGCUACCAAUAGGCGGGCAUUGAAGUUCAUUUUGGUAAAUAAUACAAUCUUUUGGUUGUGUACAUUACCUGGUGAGCGUGCCAUGUUCUGAUGUAGCUGCCUGAUGGAUUUUAAAGGUCAUAUCAUUGAUGCUUGCAUCGCCCGACAUUAAAUUGGGAUUUUUGGAUAUGUACCCGAUCAACAGCGCUCUCAUUUGGGAUACCUUUUGGACCCGUCUUGAAACACGGACCAAGGAGUCUAUCUAGUAUGCGAGUAAAUGGGAUUAGAACUAAACCUAUUUGCGUAAAUAACUUAACUGUUUCUAAUGGGAUUACGUGUACCAUUUUGUGUGCACCUCCAUCCCGGGGUAUUUUCAUCACAUAUAUGGGCAACUAUAUAUAGAAAAUAUACCAUGAGCAUACUGGACAUGACCCGAAAGAUGGUGAACUAUGCCUGAUCAGGUUGAAGUCAGGGGAAACCCUGAUGGAGGACCGAAGCAAUUCUGACGUGCAAAUCGAUUGUCAGAAUUGGGCAUAGGGGCGAAAGACCAAUCG